rnacentral:rRNA from 1 species
UGGGGAAUUGUUCGCAAUGGGCGCAAGCCUGAUCCAGCCAUGCCGCGUGAGUGAUGAAGGCCCUAGGGUUGUAAAGCUCUUUCACCGGAGAAGACAAUGACGGUAUCCGGAGAAGAAGCCCCGGCUAACUUCGUG